UACAGAGGUCUCAAGCGUUGUUCGGAUUCAUUGGGCGUAAAGGGUGCGUAGGCGGCGCGGUAAGUCGGGUGUGAAAUCUCGGAGCUUAACUCCGAAACUGCAUUCGAUACUGCCGUGCUUGAGGACUGGAGAGGAGACUGGAAUUUACGGUGUAGCGGUGAAAUGCGUAGAUAAUCAGGAGGAACACCUGUGGUGUAGACGGCUUACUGGACAGUA
rnacentral:rRNA from 1 species